AUACGUAGGUGACAAGCGUUAUCCGGAUUUACUGGGCGUAAAGGGCGUGUAGGCGGUCUUGCAAGUCAGAAGUGAAAUUCCUGAGCUCAACUCGGGCGCUGCUUCUGAAACUGCAGGACUUGAGUGCUGGAGGGGAUAGCGGAAUUCCUAGUGGAGCGGUAAAAUGCGCAGAUAUUAGGAAGAACACCGGUGGCGAAGGCGGCUAUCUGGACAGUAACUGACGCUGAGGCGCGAAAGCGUGGGGAGCAAACAGGAUUAGAUACCCUGGUGGUCCACGCCGUAAACGAUGAAUACUAGGUGUAGGGGGUAUCGACUCCCUCUGUGCCGCAGUUAACACGAUAAGUAUUCCGCCUGGGGAGUACGGCCGCAAGGUUGAAACUCAAAUGAAUUGACGGGG
rnacentral:rRNA from 1 species